GUGGGGGAUUUUGGGCAAUGGGCGCAAGCCUGACCCAGCGACGCCGCGUGGGGGAUGAAGGCCUUCGGGUUGUAAACCCCUGUCAGGUGGGAAGAAAGCUCUGAUGGAUAAUACCCGUCAGAGCCUGACUGUACCACCAAAGGAAGCCCCGGCUAACUCCGUGCCAGCAGCCGCGGUAAUACGGAGGGGGCAAGCGUUAUUCGGAAUUACUGGGCGUAAAGCGCACGCAGGUGGCGUAGUAAGUCAAAGGUGAAAGCCCUCGGCUCAACCGAGGAAUCGCCUUUGAAACUGCUUCGCUUGAGUCCGGGAGGGGGGAGCGGAAUUCCCAGUGUAGCGGUGAAAUGCGUAGAUACUGGGAGGAACACCGGUGGCGAAGGCGGCUCCCUGGACCGGUACUGACGCUGAGGUGCGAAAGCGUGGGUAGCAAACAGGAUUAGAAACCCGAGUAGUCC
rnacentral:rRNA from 1 species